UACUUGUGUUGCAAAUGCAGUGAUGAAAGACUGCAAGAAAAGGCACUUCGGGGAGAGUGAAGGUUUUCCAGGCCAAUUGUGGUAGCUCCUCAUGCAUAGUGAAUCAGCAGCCACGGCGCUGUGUCCGUGGACUUGUAACAGGCGGAAACGCUCUCCUGUGGGCAGCGAAAGAAAGAUUCACAGGGCCCCCUGCAGCUGAACUGCAAAAGAUAGAAGAUCGGUUCCUGGGACAAUAGAUAGUAAAGUGAUGAAGGAAGUAAGCUCUCAGUAAACAAAAUGCAGAACGUUUUCCCUGCAGCUGUUUUUCCUUUGCAGAGAAUUGUGAGCAACCUGCAUCGGACGAAGGAAGC
ensembl:lncRNA